AGCGUAGACGGUGUGGCAAGUCUGAUGUGAAAGGCAUGGGCUCAACCUGUGGACUGCAUUGGAAACUGUCAUACUUGAGUGCCGGAGGGGUAAGCGGAAUUCCUAGUGUAGCGGUGAAAUGCGUAGAUAUUAGGAGGAACACCAGUGGCGAAGGCGGCUUACUGGACGGUAACUGACGUUGAGGCUCGAAAGGCGUGGGAGCAAACA
rnacentral:rRNA from 1 species